UCGAACGAGAAAGGGUAGCAAUACCUGAGUAAAGUGGCGCACGGGUGAGUAACACGUGACUAACCUACCCUGGAGUGGGGAAUAACUGAGGGAAACCUUAGCUAAUACCGCAUAAUACCUACGGGUCAAAGGAGCAAUUCGCUUCAGGAGGGGGUCGCGGCCGAUUAGUUAGUUGGCGGGGUAAUGGCCCACCAAGACGAUGAUCGGUAUCCGGCCUGAGAGGGCGCACGGACACACUGGAACUGAAACACGGUCCAGACUCCUACGGGAGGCAGCAGUGGGGAAUUUUGCGCAAUGGGGGAAACCCUGACGCAGCAACGCCGCGUGGAGGAUGAAAUAUCUUGGUAUGUAAACUCCUUUCGAUGGGGAAGAUUAUGACGGUACCCAUAGAAGAAGCCCCGGCUAACUUCGUGCCAGCAGCCGCGGUAAUACGAAGGGGGCAAGCGUUGUUCGGAUUUAUUGGGCGUAAAGGGUGCGU
rnacentral:rRNA from 1 species